rnacentral:rRNA from 1 species
AGUGAACGCUGGCGGUAGGCCUAACACAUGCAAGUCGAACGGCAGCACAGUAAGAGCUUGCUAUUACGGGUGGCGAGGGGCGGACGGGUGAGGAAAACAGCGGAAUCUACUUGUUCGUGGGGGGGAACGUAGGGAAACUUACGGUAAUACCGCAUACGACCUACGGGGGAAAGCAGGGGAUCUUCGGACCUUGCGCGAAUGAAUGAGCCGAUGUCGGAUUGGCUAGUUGGCGGGGUAAAGGCCCACCAAGGCGACGAUCCGUAGCUGGUCUGAGAGGAUGAUCCGCCACACUGGAACUGAGACACGGUCCAGACUCCUACGGGCGGCCGCAGUGGGGACUAUUGGACAAUGGGCGCAAGCCUGAUCCAGCCAUACCGCGUGGGUGAAGCAGGCCUUCGGGUUGUAAAGCCCUUUUGUUGGGAAAGACCAGCAGCAGGUUAAUCCCCCGCUGUUCUGACGGUACCCAAAGAAUAAGCACCGGCUAACUUCGUG